rnacentral:lncRNA from 1 species
CGUUCAGAUCAUACCAACUUCUGGUCACAAUGUAUUUCGAUGCCAUGUUCAGAGAAGGAAAUUAUGACCUUCUCAGCUCCAGGAGACUGCUAAUUCAGUUGAAAAUCUCAGUCUACAGCUGGUAAUAUGAAGGUGAGCUUCCUGUUACUGUCAC